UGUAAACAUCCCCGACUGGAAGCUGUACCACUUCUAGCUUUCAGUCAGAUGUUUGCU
rnacentral:pre_miRNA from 1 species